rnacentral:rRNA from 1 species
ACUGCUCAGUAACACGUAGUCAACAUGCCCAGGGGACGUGGAUAACCUCGGGAAACUGAGGAUAAACCGCGAUAAGUCACUACUUCUGGAAUGGGUAAUGACUAAAAUCUACAUGGCCCCUGGAUUGGACUGCGGCCGAUCAGGCUGUUGGUGAGGUAAUGGCCCACCAAACCUGUAACCGGUACGGGCUCUGAGAGGGGGAGCCCGGAGAUGGGCACUGAGACAAGGGCCCAGGCCCUAUGGGGCGCAGCAGGCGCGAAACCUCUGCAAUAGGCGAAAGCCUGACAGGGUUACUCUGAGUGAUUUCCGUUAAGGAGAUCUUUUGGCACCUCUAAAAAUGGUGCAGAAUAAGGGGUGGGCAAGUCUGGUGUCAGCCGCCGCGGUAAUACCAGCACCCCGAGUGGUCGGGACGUUUAUUGGGCCUAAAGCAUCCGUAGCCGGUUCUACAAGUCUUCCGUUAAAUCCACCUGCUUAACAGGUGGGCUGCGGAAGAUACUAUAGAGCUAGGAGGCGGGAGAGGCAAGCGGUACUCGAUGGGUGGGGGUAAAAUCCGUUGAUCCAUUGAAGACCACCAGUGGCGAAGGCGGCUUGCCAGAACGCGCUCGACGGUGAGGGAUGAAAGCUGGGGGAGCAAACCGGAUUAGAUACCCGGGUAGUCCCAGCUGUAAACGAUGCAGACUCGGUGAUGGGUUGGCUUCUUGCCAACUCAGUGCCGCAGGGAAGCCGUUAAGUUUGCCGCCUGGGGAGUACGGUCGCAAGACUGAAACUUAAAGGAAUUGGCGGGGGAGCAC